AGCUUGCUAUCUAAGACUAAGUGGCGCACGGGUGAGUAAUAUAUAGGUAACAUGCCCUAGAGAGGGGGAUAACAAUUGGAAACGGUUGCUAACACCCCAUAUGCCUUUAUUCCAUAAGGAAGCAAGGGAAACAUUUAUGGCUCUAGGAUUGGCCUGUACGGUAUCAGUUAGUUGGUGAGGUAAUGGCUUACCAAGACUAUGACACCUAACUGGUUUGAGAGGAUGAUCAGUCACACUGGAACUGAGACACGGUCCAGACUCCUACGGGAGGCAGCAGUGGGGAAUAUUGCACAAUGGACGAAAGUCUGAUGCAGCAACGCCGCGUGGAGGAUGACACAUUUCGGUGCGUAAACUCCUUUUAUAUAGGAAGAUAAUGACGGUACUAUAUGAAUAAGCACCGGCUAACUCCGUGCCAGCAGCCGCGGUAAU
rnacentral:rRNA from 1 species